rnacentral:lncRNA from 1 species
UUUUUUUUUUCUUGGUCACUCUCUCUCUGGCCCUGCCUGACGAUUUUUCUUGGUCACUCACUCUCUCUGGCCUUGCCUGACGACGAGUGAUGUUUCGUUUUCGCCCGAUGAAAAAAUGUUGCACAUAGUCUGUUUUUGGGUGCAGGAAUGUUGUCCAUGCUUCCAUCUCGAAUGACUAGACGUGGCAUUGUGUUUUGUGUGACUGGGUGCCCCUUUAGAGCAUCUACAACCGGAUCCUGCAAACCCGUCUUAAGUUUUUGGGUAGGUCGCUCGGUCACGAUUUUUUGACCCAGACGAGCCUUUCAAACGUUCGGGCUGACCGGCACCUCUCAUAUCCAGUCCAAAAAUAUGUGGUGAAUAUGGAACGCCCAGGCGCGUCCGAGCACGCCUGUCAUAUCGGACCCAACAACCCGACCCCACCCUAAAUUGCACCAAACCCCCCUUCCUACCCGAGCUACCGGAUCCAUUUGCUCUCUCCUCUCUUCUUCCUCCUUCGCGCCGUCCGGCUCGCAGAUCCACGCCGCGCCCGCUCCGCAGCCGUUCCUAGGCUCUCCGCCGCAAGCUUCGGAAGAGCGCUCCCGUCCUCGCCGCGGGGGACGUUGUCACCGGCCCGGACGCCACCGUGGUACGCCGGCAAAUCUCUGGCUCCGCCUUGUGCUUGAUGUGUUCGACACAUUGACCGACCGGAAUUAUUGUGAUUUUGCUAGGUAAACGAUGAAUUCCGAUGCUUCGUCAAACGAGGAGUAUGGACCGACGUAGCUUGAAUGAUUCAAUAUGAGUUCUUCGAUUCGUCGAAUUCAGACGAAGAAGUGGACAUGAUCAUGCUCAUGAGCAUGCAAGAGGAAAUGGACUGGCAAGUGGAGCAUAUUCUCAACUUAAGGGCUCAAUCAAAGGGAGAAGAGUGAACAACCGGGACAGGGUGUCCGGAGCAAAGCUGGACAAUGACUACUUUGCUCCCACAACUGCUUUCCUGGAUGAUCCAUGGUUUCGUUGCCAUUUUCGCAUGCGGAAACCAUUAUUUUUGCGUAUUAUGGAGGGAGUGGAGGCACACGAUGACUACUUUAAAGUGAGAAGGGAUUGUUGUGGGCUUGUGGCCAACUCUCUUUCUCAGCCAAGCAGAAGUGCACGGCUGCUCUGAGGAUGCUUGCACUUGGUACUGCUGUAGACGCCGAUGGUGAGAUGGUCAGGAUGGGGGGGAGAGCACGACUACUAUCAAAUUUGCUCGCACCGUGGUUGAGGUGUUUGGACUGGAAUAUCUCAGAGAACCAAAUGCGCAGGACACAAAAAAGUUGUUGACUAUUGAAGAGUCAAGGGGGUUUCCAAAAAUGCUCGGAUCAAUUGAUUGCAUGCAUUGGCAAUGAAAAAAUUGCCCCAAAGGUCUGCGGGGAAUGUAGGUUACACUAGAGAGGCCACCAUCAUACUAGAAGUGGUGGCAUCGUCACAUGACUUAUGGAUUUGGCAUGCUUUCUUUGGAAUGCCCGGUUCUCACAACGAAAUCAACGUGCUUCAACGAUCUCCAGUGUUCAGGAGGCUUUGCAAUGGGGAAUCACCGCCGUGCAACUACACCGUCAACGGCAGGGACUACACCAUGGGGUACUAUCUUGCCGAUGGUAUCAAUCCUCAGUGGCCGGCGUUUGUGAAGACCAUAUCCGAGCCACGUGACAAUAAACAAAGCCACUUUGCAACAAUGUAGGAGGCAGCUAGGAAAGACGUGGAGAGGGCACUUGGUGUGCUUCAAGCUCGUUGGGGAAUUGUGCGGAGCGCUGCAAUUAUGUGGGAAUCGAAAACAUUUUGGCAGCUGGUGACAUAUUGUGUUAUUUUGCACAAUAUGAUUGUCGAGGAUGAGGGUGAUGGUGUAGCCCAAACCCAUGAUUUCGAAGCACCCGGAGAACAAGUUGAAAUCCCGGAAGAUCAAGAUGCGUCUCAGCUUAUGAACUUUCUGCAAAUGCAUCAGAAUCUUCGAAAUCAGCAGGUGCACACGCGCACACGCGGCUACUCAAUGAUCUUGUGGAGCACAUGUGGAUCCACAAUAGCAACCAAGGAGGCAAUGCUUGAGUUUGGCUCUUUAAAAUAAUUUUUAUGUAAACACUAUGUAUGCUUGAUACCAACAAUUGUUAUUUGCAUGCGACAUUGUGUUGCAUGAUCAACGUGCAUGUAUUUGCAUAAAUUUGAGAGUCCGGAUUUAAAAUAUGCGAAAGCAUGAAAGAAAAUAUAAGGACCCGCCUGGAUGCGCCUGCGGGCGUUUGUGUGGCCGGAUUUGUCAAAGUCCGGCAGCGUAGAUGCUCUUAUAGAGCGCGGGGUAGCUUUUUAACUUGCCACCCAAAUAGUGGUGCACCGUCGUGCACUGAUCUUAACAGAUUAGGACACGCCCACAUACAUACAUAUACGUAGAUAUUAUAUAGAGAUAAUAAUCCAAACGGUCGAGUGUGCAGACAGUGCAAAGUCCCACGGCAUUUCGAUGAAUCCUGUGUCGGCAUCCAUCGCGUCCCGAAACGCCCACUCCAAAGCCAGUUGUGCAUGUGCGCAUGUAUGACAUGGAGGUGGUGCAGCCACAAGAAGAAGAAAAAGAAAGAAGAGCCCAGCCGCAGGCCGCAGCCGGGGACUAGACAAGAGGAACCUUUUUUGCUCUGCUCAAGUUUCUAUGCAACCCAGCUCCAUACUUACGGAUGAUGACGAAUCUGAUAAGAUGCAGCAGCAACUUGGAAUGGGGACGGAGUGUACUCGACGGAGGGAUGGAUACCCAUGCGCUGACGACCAUGCGUGCAUCCAGCAGCAAGGAAGAAGCAGUGUCCCGACUGUACGACGCACCAUGACAUGAUGGAUCGGCCAUGGCUUGUAAGACUAGCCAUAAUGGAGAGUAACAUACACUAGUAACAUACGCGUAUUCUUAAAUUAUGUUACUAUCUUUAUAGUGGGUAGUAACAUAAGUAUGGUAACAUGCAUAACUUGAUUUAUUAGGUUAUAGACUCACAUUGCAUUGGGACAUGUGAUGUUAUAAUAACUAGCUAAGUUAUUACUACUACCUUUCUCCUCAUUAACUCAUUGCCACAUAAGCAAAUUUGUUGAGUUGGACUCGAUGUUACUGCUGAAAUUACUUCCACUGUGGCUAGUCUCAGGUUAUACAUGCCCAGUUCAUUCAGGCGCAUCAUAGGCCAGGGCGGUUUCUCUGCAUAUGAAGGCUCAGUAUGGCAGUGUCACUGAUCGCGUUGUUAUCCUAACUAAUUUGUUUGAGCUCAUCCGGACGUUGUGUCUUUUUCUUUCAGCCCGCUCGCCUUGGACGUACCACUGGCGCAUGCAAUGCAACCACAGGCUAACUGCUUGAUCAAGCACUACGAAAAUACUCCAAAGCUCGAGUGCGUGCUGUGGGGAUAUUUUUUUUGUUUGUUUGUGAACAAGACCAGAACAGAUGUGGAUAGACAUCAUAUCGAAGGCAACAUACCCGCAUACACAAGCAGAUUACAACAAUCAAAUCGGUUGAGUGCGCAAAAUUAAAGGCGCAAGUCCCAUGACAAACCUCCCCAUGCAUCCGUCAGCGUCCAUGUAAGCAGUUUCCUUUGUUUUGCUCGAUCAAGUUGCGCAAGUUGCCGUCUCGUCGCGCCGCACGGGUUUCUUGGCCACACAGUGGAGUACAUACUACUCCUUUCGUUCCAUAUUUAUACUAAAUCAACGACGAGUAAUAUAAAACGGAGGAAGUACCACACAGGCUCGCAAACAUAGAUCUGGACCCAUGUUUUUGGUAGGCAUCGAUGGAUCACAUGAUGGAUCGAUCGGCCAUACUUGCACACAUUACGGUUACUGUCCAAUCGAUUGAGUGUGCAAAAGGUGCAAGCCCCAUGCCAUGCAUGCAUCCGUCAGCUCAGCGUACUACAUGGACGUAGCGCAUGCAGCUGUAUAGUGACAACUGACAACAGAAGAAGAUAUCGAUCGACCCAUACACACAUGACACAUUACAUAUGCAUACAACUAAUCAAGGCGUUCCCUUUGACGAAUUUGCUCAAGUCGCUUUUGGCAACACACGUUGCAUGGUGUUCGCUUUGUGUCCAUCCAAUCCUAGCUCGGCCGGAUAUGGUAUAUAUAUGUACAAAACCCCGCAAGUCGCACAAAUUUCUUCAUGGCUUGUUUAUUUCUUUUCUUCCUUCGUUCAAGUGGAUGGGCAUGCAAUGCGCCCAGCCACUUCGAGGUGGAGUGCACUAGUUGGGGGUCAAAGUUGUUGCCUUGAUUGGACCGAGCAUGCAAUGCAUGCCCGUCGACCUGCAGGCUGCGCCCUCGUCUCAGACCGUUUGGCUUUGCAUCUACAGCAAGCAAGCGAUUUAUAUAUGCGAAGGAGACUACGAUAUGUGGUGCAUACAAACUUGUUUGCCUCUGCCUGCAGCCAAUCGGAGCACAAGGGCUUGCAAGAGAAAGCUUUGUUUAUGCUAAGACGGGCGAGGCAUGGAUAGACAUGGGCCGACAGGUUAGUUAGACUGUGCGCCAACGAGUUAAUUAGAAAUUGUUAAUCACGCGCUCUCGACUUCGACUGCACUUCGAUAUGAACAUUGAACAAUCCUCCUGCACUGAUAAUGUUAAGGCUAAGCGCGCAAAAGUGCAAGUCCCGUGGCAUUUCGAACCCUCUGUUCGGCACAUACAUCACGGCCAGAAAAUACUCAUCAAAGCCGGCUCAUGAAUGGCAUGGACGUGCCGCGGCCACGAGAAGGAGGGAUAAGAAGCGGCCAGCCCAGCCGGAAAUCGAGUUACUACCACAGUGCCCGCAGUUUUGUUUUGGAAACGGCGAGCCGCACGGUGUUCGUUUUCUGUCCAGGCAUACCAGCUCAUAUAGUAUAGCCGUAUUGAUUUCUGUGGCUGCGCUACCAAGUUGCAGUGCCGGCAUAUAGGGCUGGAAGCUUUCUUGUCCGCAGCACGAUCGAUGAGCAGGAACUCCCGCUAGCUGUAGCAAGUGCCCUGUAGGAGCAUAUAGGCAUACAGCAAGGAGGAAGCUUGUCCUGUUCUCAACUGCACCACCUAGGACCUUGCUGCAUGCAUGCAUGCAUGAUAUUUCUUUUUCAGAGCACACAAAUUGUGUGCCUUAACUUUAUAGAAGGUAGAAGAUAAAUACAAUAAGCUCCCAUCAUAACCCCUCUCCCGCGUGAACCACUCUAGAAGCUUCGUCUGUGCAUCGAUGCCGGUCGGCUGCUCUAGAGCGGACGCGGCACGAUGGCCAUUGAUGUCGGUCAGAACCAGGCGAACGGANNNNNNNNNNNNNNNNNNNNNNNNNNNNNNNNNNNNNNNNNNNNNNNNNNNNNNNNNNNNNNNNNNNNNNNNNNNNNNNNNNNNNNNNNNNNNNNNNNNNNNNNNNNNNNNNNNNNNNNNNNNNNNNNNNNNNNNNNNNNNNNNNNNNNNNNNNNNNNNNNNNNNNNNNNNNNNNNNNNNNNNNNNNNNNNNNNNNNNNNNNNNNNNNNNNNNNNNNNNNNNNNNNNNNNNNNNNNNNNNNNNNNNNNNNNNNNNNNNNNNNNNNNNNNNNNNNNNNNNNNNNNNNNNNNNNNNNNNNNNNNNNNNNNNNNNNNNNNNNNNNNNNNNNNNNNNNNNNNNNNNNNNNNNNNNNNNNNNNNNNNNNNNNNNNNNNNNNNNNNNNNNNNNNNNNNNNNNNNNNNNNNNNNNNNNNNNNNNNNNNNNNNNNNNNNNNNCCCUGGCCUAUUUUAAGCAGGGUUACACUACCCUCCUCGCCGGAUGUCCUCUCCAAUCCAUAAACCCUCUCAUCCUCGCCAAGCCUGCUGCAAUGGAUGAGGAGUUCUAGCGACAACUAGAGUUCCUCCUCGGGCGAUCUCUCUAUGACCACGGUCCAGCACCGGCCGCACCACCUCGCUGCCGCGUUCCACCAACCCCUGUUGCUACUGCCACGUCCAAAUUGGAGGCCACGUCAAGGAGGAAGAGCCGUUGUCGUCAUCGCACAACAUGCUCGACUGCUUCGACCAGUCGAUGUGGUGCGACAAGUAGAGUGUGUCGGGACGCCGCCCCAUCGCAGAGAAGUAGGAGCCCUCCCCCAUGCUCAUGAAUGCGCGCAAGCAGCCCCCUGCAUUCCCUCGGACGCGGUGGCGGCAACACGUCGUCAUGCAACGCCCUGAUGGCGGCCUAAUCAGCGACGCAGUAGGCGGAGUGGUGGGACACGUCACAGGGUUUUGUUCCAAGACAUCCGCGUGGCGCCGGUGCUGCCUUAGCGGCCAACUGGUCAAGAUCGGCGUGGCCGUGUCGCUGCGUGUCGCCGUCGGCACGGGCAAGGGGAGGGGUGGCAGAGGAAGCCGAGCGACUGCGAAAUCAGGGUUGUCUUUUUUGUUUUGCGGAUGGCCAAUCAGGGUUGUCACGGCUCCUACGUACCCUUCCGUCGCUGCAAGGACCACUACAAAGAUGGAGCGGAUGACUACAAAGAUGGAGCGGAUGACGACGGCGCUCCAGCCGGCCAAGGGGCCACGAGCACGAGGUUACUGUCCGAUACCUUGCUGCUUUUUUGUUUUAGAAAAAUAGUUAGUUGAACGAACGAAAUAUUGUUUCAUUUAUGUAAAUAUAUCAAAUUUUUAUCUGGUUUGCAUGAAAAUGGUUUGUGUUGCAUGAAAUUUCCCUGUUUAGUUUAAUUUAUGUGCGGACGUUUUGGUGCUUGUGGUUAGAUGACCGACUCUUGUAUCCUUGUCUGCUAACUUGUACACCGGCCGUGCGUUCAUGAGAUGCCCUAAUUAAAUUGGGCUCUCAUCGGGAGGCUGCUCUUUAUUCACACCGUACUCUUGUAUCCUUGUCUGCUAACUUGUUACCGGGGAAGCAAGGCAAGCUGCAUGUUACCUGAGUACCGAACUGGAUUGUGCAUGCCGUGACCAACUACGUAGUACGUGGCCUGGAUAUGUAUACUGAUCUGGCGGCCAAGAUAAAGGCAAUCCACUUGGGUAACAAACAAUCCAGUCGGUUUGGUUCAUUGUGCAAAGGUGCAAGUCACACAUGCAUGAACAUACUUUUCGUGGAUCGUCCGUCAGCAACAAUGGGGCGUAGUGCAGUGACAACAGAAGAUCUGACGCAUGCACACAUUACGUCUACAUAAACUAAUGGAGGAGUUAUCUUUGCUGAAUAUUGCUCAAGUCGCUUUUGGCAAUAUACACAGCGUUUUUAAUAAUAAAAAUUAUACUUAUAAGUUAGGUCAGCCCAGGUGUGCGUGCAUGUUACCGGAGAAGCAAGGCAAGGCUGCAUGUUACCGAAGUACUGAACUGGAUUGUGCAUGGAUCUCAUCAUCUGAAGCCUGGAUAUGUAUACUGAUGCCUGGUCUAACAAACAAUCCAGCCGGUCCAGUCUGCAAAAAGUGCCAAAGUGCCUCCUAAUGUCCAUGUUUUUUAGUGGCUUAUUAUUCGUAACAAAAGUUUAACCAGGGAUGACGACCUGGCUAAACGUAGGCAUGUUUUUUUUUUCUUUUUGAAAAGAGGGUUACCCCGGCCUCUGCAUCAGAACGAUGCAUAUGGCCAUCUUAUUAAAAUAAAUAAAUAAGGUUGUAAUAAGGUCUCAAAGUCUCGAACUGAAACAAAAGCUCACUCAGAGCCAAAUAGGCUAGAAACACAAACUAGCCAAAACAGGGGCGCCACAACCGACUGGCUAAAGCAAGAUAGGUAAACUAAUUGCCUAUCCUAUUACAUGACCGCCAUCCAAACCGGUUGAAGGUAUCCCGAACUACCAUCUCCCAGCGGAUAUAUCCAGUAACCAAAUGCUCCCUGGCCUCCAUCGGAGUGAGUAGAGAUCACGAACGGAUCAAUGUCGUGGCUCUGAAGAUAACCUGCAUAAAAUGACUAAACGUAGGCAUGUAGAUGAUACUUCGUGUGUAUUUUGCAAUGAACCUGAAAGUAUUUAACACUUGUUCUUUGACUGUAUACUUGCACAACAGAUGCGGGUUGUGGUGGCAGAGAGUAUUGAUAUUCAUGUCCCCAGCUCCUUUUAUUCCUUGCUUUCUUUCUCGAAAGUUAAGAAACAUUUUGAUGCUGAAAAUUUGGUCACUUAUGCUGCCUUAUAGAGCUUAUGGCUUUUGCGAAUUGACUUUGUGUUCCAGGAGCGAAGAUGGCGAAGCAUUCGAUGUAUCCUCGAUCUGGUGGGCUCCACAAUUCGAUAGUGGAAAAUCCUAUGCUCAGACAAUCAAGUUGCGCUCCUGUUUCGCUGGUUAAGACUGCUCGAUCAUCUGCGAGGGGAGCUGCUUAGAAUAGCCUGGGUUGCUGAUCUUUAGGAGAAUUUGUCAGCAGGAGACAAUUUUGUUGCGCUGUAAUUUUUAACUCCAUUGCAUGUCCCCCUGAUCCAUGUGUUGCCUGGGAGGUUUUUCUAAACCCUGUAAUAAUCUGUUGCAGUUAGUUUCGAACCCUACCCCCACUCCUUCCCUAACCCUACCCCCACUCCCGCUCCCAUGCAGCGCUGCCGCGCCGCACCGGAACGUCCCCGCACCCUUCCUCCGGUACUCUCCAGUGCCCGAUCCCCUACCGCCGCCGCCGCCGCCGGGGGAAUCGCAGGCAAAGCCUGUGUGCUGCAGGGUGGCGGCGCGCUUCUCCUCGGCCAGCGCUUCGGUCAGGGUAGCGGUGGUCCACGCCGGCCAGACCUACGGCAGUGGCGCGGGGCGGCGAUGGCCAGAUUUGGCAUGCUGGUGGUGGCGUACAUCGACGGAUCCAGCGACGACGGCUUGGGUGCCCGAUCUGGGCCCAUAUGAGCUUCGGCGGGUCGAACAUGCGGAUGUCGUGUACCAUCCUGGCCGCAACACAAGGAAGUCGGGGGCUCCAGCCCUUGGCGUGGCGAUGGUGGCCACCUCUUUCGUCGGAGGUGGUCGGCCCGAGGCUGGGUGGUCAAAUCUCGAGAUCCGUCAUCUGGUCCAGGCUGCGAGUUGGGGAGACAUAGUUGCCGGUGAAAGCCGAGCCGAUGGUGGCGUUCUGCACCGAUACCUUGAUGAAGGCAUCGUCGUGUAACUACUGUCGACUCACUCGUGCUGCUUCGGGGGAAACCCUAGGAUCUGGUCUUCCAAAUCGAACGAUGGCGGUACUGCGGUGUCGUUUCUCUCUUGGGAGCAUCGUUUGUGGAGCAGCGGUGGAAGACAGAGGCCAGAGGCAGGAGGUGGAGCGGUUUCGUCUUGCACGGAGCUUCGGUGGAGAUGUCAACUCAUGCCUGGCCGACGGGUGCUACGUUGUGUCAUGCUUGGUCGGCAGGUUCUACGGACGACAGAUCUUCCAGAGUCUUCGCGUCUGGAUAGACGAGCGCAAGGCGGUGGUGUCGUUGAGCGUCAUGGUGGCGUCGACGGAUGUCCGGACUGGCAAGGAUGAUGCGGAUCUCUCUUCUGAAGAUGGGUCAGCGGUUCGAUGAUGAUGGUGGCUUCUAAAACGUGUGGAUAUGGUGUGCGCUUUAGAUCUGCUGCACCGGCGGUUAGUUCCGAUACGUUAUGUGGAUGGAUCGGUGACGACACCGGUUUUAGAUAUGGAAAGUGAGAGCAAUCCAUAUUAUCGAGUUUGUAGGUGUGAGUGGUGGCUUCAGAUGGCUUGAUGUAUGUUCUUGUCAGACCUUUAUUGAAUAAUUAAUAAGAAUGAAUGCAUGCAUCGAUUGAUGCAGAGGUAUAGGUUUAACCUCCUUUUCAGAAGAAGAAAAAAUGCUGCAGCUACUUUGGGCUGUGCUGAGAGCUGUUAACCGUCACUGUUUUGUGUUGCCUUGGCUUAAGAAAAAGUUGGGGCGGGGGAAACCCAUAUGUUGAACCUCCAUCAUCACUGACCUCCAUACACCCGUCAGCACAGCGUCCAUGGCCGUAGUGCAGCUGUGCAGUGAUAACAGAAGAUCGACUCAUCGACCCAUACACACAUUUACAAAGAAGCGGUUCCCUUUGCUGAAAUUGCUCAAGCUGCUUUUGGCAAUAUGCAGAGCGUUGUGCACUCGUUGUGUCCAGUCCACCCAAUCCAAGCUCGACCGUUGUGUCCACCCCUCAAGUUGCGGUCGCGUAGUCGCAUAAAUUUCUUGACAGUUGAUCAUUUUUUUUCUUUGUUCCAGUGGGUCGGCAUGUACGUACGCAGCAGCUUGGACAAGCUGCACGUUAAUCAGUACUACGACUAGUUCUCCUCCCCAACUGGACUGUGCACGUUGUAAGCCUGGAGACGCACACACUAAUCUCAAACACAACACACGAAGGCAAAUCCACAUGCAAACACCAGCAGGUAAUCCAUUGCCAAUGCACGCCAAGGGGUAACGACGAUCCAAUCGGAUCGGAUGAGUGUGAGAGUGCAGGCCAAAGUUCCCGCGCACCCGUCAGCGCACGCACGUGGUGCGGUGACAACUCAAGAUCGGCCCAUAGGCACGUUGUACAAUACAUACACAAACCAAUCAAGCAGCUCACUUUUCUUUUCUUUUGCAUUCUUUGCCCGAGGCAGCAGAGCUCGGCGUGGUGUUCGCGUUGUGUCCACCCAAUCCCACCCCGGCCGUACUGCCAUGCGAACCCCGCACAGAUAUCUUCACCGUUGUUUAUGUCCUCCUCUGUUCGAGUCGAGUGAGUCGUCAUGCAACUUGGAGCCGGAGUGGCUACACCGCCGGAUACGUUAACGAAAACAACAGCCCGGCAGGCGUGAUCGAGUCGCUGAGACUCAGAGGUCCGGUCAAACCAGCUAGAACUCACGAGCAUCGCAGCCGUCCAAUCCAUGCUUCAUCCGUGACCGUGAGGACCAGCGUGUGUGGUACGAUGUGAACGCCUCGGCGGUCAAAGAUGAGAGCUGUCGCCUUAAUUCGAUCUCGGCGGCCUGCGCCCUCGUUUCAGACCGCCUGGCUUGGCAUGCACACGAAGCAACCCAUUUAUAUAUACUUCUAUACAUCCGAUAACGCCGUAUGCAUGCAAAGACCGGAAGACUACGUAUGCGGCAUGUACAUACCACCACCACUUGUUUGUCCCGGUCAGCCGGCCGCAGCCAAUCACAGCGCAAGGGCCUGCACAAGAUAACAUUUCUUUUUCACAGCGCAGCCAAUCACAUCGACUGGCCAGUUGGGUAAACCUGUUUGUUAAUCACUCGACUGGAAAUUUGAAUAGAUAUCGUCCAUGGCUGCCCGCUCCUGACUUUGGGCGGCAAUCAUGGGAGGAACAUGCAUGGCGACGGUAUAAAAUAGAUUUCGAUUGGUGCGGGCGGGCGGGCGGGCAGGGAGGCAGUGAAGCAUCAAGCGUGCGUGCACAUGCACGCGCAUGUGAGGCCUCGGCAGGCCGUACCGUGACUGGCACGGCCGACCCGUCGCCGACCGCGCCGGGCCCGCCGCGACGGGGACGGCUCGACGCAGCGGGCCGCCGUCGCAUGCCGCUGGUAACGGACGGACGGAGGAACGGAGGAGGUGCAAGAAAGCGGCGACCCAACAACCCGCUUUGACCGUCGCAGCCUCUCUAGAAGAAAAGCAAACAGAGCCAUCUCAGUUAAGCCAGAGAGAGAGAGAGAGAGAGAGAGAGAGAGAGAGAGAGAGAGAUGAGAGGGAGGGGGGCGGUGCAGGUGGGCGGGGAUCCACUUGUGCGCGCUCACGUUAUCCUGGCGGUGUCGGUUUUUGUAACGCCACUUGCAGCCCAGCCCGGCUGCAUCUGCGCAGAGGGAGAGAGGGGGGGAUUGAGAGGGACCGGAGAGUAAAAUAAGGAAAAGUCGGGCAGGCGGAAAAGCGCAAGUUGCCUGUCACGCUCGCUCCCUCCCCUCCCGACGUACCAGUACACGGCCGCGGUACCAGUCACGUCCUCCUUUCUCUCCCUUUGGUCACUUCUCCGUCCCGUGCAAGUGGCCGGCCCGUUCCGUCCCGUCCCGUCCCGUCCCGUCCCGCACGCAAACGCACGCCCCCUACUUGUACUUGAUUCAUAUCAAUGGCAGGUUCUUGUUUUGACAUCCUCAAAGAAAUGGCACAUGCAUGCAUGUAUCUGUGGUUCGGUGUGUGACAAAGACCGCAAUGCGUGAGGAGAUAAUCUUGAUUCAGUCCGGCGAGAAUAUGACGGCUUUGGUGUGUUGUGCCUCGUUCAACAUUUUGUAAAUUUGACCAAAUGUUAGAAGCCAAAAUGGGACGAGAACACAAACACACGCAUUCCACAAUGGAACGAGUAUAUACAGAGAUGUUGAUGAGCCUUGCAUCGGUCGAACCUAGUUUUUACUCCUCAAUUUCUGUCAAAUCUUAUCAUCGUCUUACCCAGAACAAACAAAGGGGAACCAACGAAAACUAGAGCUAGGAACACUGCUAGGGGGUGUCUCGCGAUAAGGAGAAACAGCGAGGGGCCGGGUGGGAAAGCGCACCGACCGGUCCGAACCGACCCACCGACCCCUCGCCUUCACGCCAGAAAGAACAAGAGAAAAAUAAUCGACCGCCACCACCCGCGCACCACCACCACCAUGGAUUUCGAUUCAUUAAUCGGAAAAUCGGAGCGCGAUUUUACCGAAACGCCCCUGCGGCCGAGCCGGGCUCGAGUUGACCGCCGGAGGGAGGCACGGGCCGGCGAUUGGAUCGAGCG